CCCGCCCCCCCCGCCCCCCCCCGGCCCCCCCGGCCCCCCCGGCCUCUGAAGCGAGGCUGCGGAAGGAGCAGAUCGCCUGGGUCUUUGAGGUGACGGACAGGCUGUCGACCAUCGACCAGAUCCCCAAGAGGAGAGCGCUGAGCUUCGGCAGUCGCUUCCUCCGCCAGAACCACUCCGACUGGGUGCAGCAGCACGGAGGCUGGGAAGGAGUGCUUCCGGUUAAAGGUGAACGUGGCCUCACCUGUACGUCAACAGACCUGUCCUGAGAGCAACAACGUUCUCUCUGUUCCUACUCAAUCUUUAUAACAACAUGACCUUUUGUAAUUAUAGAGGCCAAUCUUUUAAAUGACAAUUUGUUAAAUUAUGUGUUCUCAUAAUGUUAUCUAAUUUGUUAAUAAUGUACCCCUAUAUUAUGUGUUUUGCGACCUAUUUUUGUAUCCAACAUUAUUGUACACCGAUGUGAUCGGUUGUUUUGUUUUUGUUUCUGUAUAGAAGUGCAUUCUGGGUCAUUGACCGUUAGUUAAGACUUAGCACAUGCCAUGGCUGCUGAUGAUGUACCGAAUAUGAAAACGCAUCACAUUUGUACCUUACAGUUCUGAUUUAACUGUCUCAACAAGAAUAUUUUAGACUGGACUUAGAGAUGCUGUUUGUGUAUGUCGUGCAGAGUUUAUUAGUUUUAAAAAAUUGAACCAAAAUUGUUUUCCAUUAAUGUUUUGCAUUUUAUUCAUUUUUUCUUUUUUCAAUUGUAUUACAAAUAAUAAACAGCAGUGCUUUUUA